rnacentral:rRNA from 1 species
CGCAAGAUUAAAACUCAAAUGAAUUGACGGGGGCCCGCACAAGCGGUGGAGCAUGUGGUUUAAUUCGAUGCAACGCGAAGAACCUUACCUACUCUUGACAUCCAGAGAAUCCUACGGAGACGUGGGAGUGCCUUCGGGAACUCUGAGACAGGUGCUGCAUGGCUGUCGUCAGCUCGUGUUGUGAAAUGUUGGGUUAAGUCCCGCAACGAGCGCAACCCUUAUCCUUGUUUGCCAGCACUUCGGGUGGGAACUCCAGGGAGACUGCCGGUGAUAAACCGGAGGAAGGUGGGGACGACGUCAAGUCAUCAUGGCCCUUACGAGUAGGGCUACACACGUGCUACAAUGGCGCAUACAGAGGGCGGCCAACUUGCGAAAGUGAGCGGAUCCCAAAAAGUGCGUCGUAGUCCGGAUUGGAGUCUGCAACUCGACUCCAUGAAGUCGGAAUCGCUAGUAAUCGUGGAUCAGAAUGCCACGGUGAAUACGUUCCCGGGCCUUGUACACACCGCCCGUCACACCAUGGGAGUGGGCUGCAAAAGAAGUGGGUAGUUUAACCUUCGGGAGGACGCUCAC